rnacentral:lncRNA from 1 species
CGCAGUGGCCACUAUGGGGUCUGGGCUGCCCCUUGUCCUCCUCUUGACCCUCCUUGGCAGCUCACAUGGAACAGGUGAGGGCUAGAGGGCAGGACUCCUGGGUCCCUGUGGCAAGAAGAGGCCAGAGAAAAGGGGUGGGACUUCAUGGUCCCUGAGAGUGACAGAGACACCCCAGUCCUGAGCUUCCAAGAGGCUCUGGAGGGGCAUUGCUGGGGAAGAGGAACUGUGCCGGGGAGCGUGAGCAGGAAGGUUCUGUGUCUCCGGAGGAAUCAGCCCUGACUGCUGGGUCCUAAGCUGUACUUCUGGAUCCGCAGGGCCGGGUAUGACUUUGCAACUGAAGCUGAAGGAGUCUUUUCUGACAAAUUCCUCCUAUGAGUCCAGCUUCCUGGAAUUGCUUGAAAAGCUCUGCCUCCUCCUCCAUCUCCCUUCAGGGACCAGCGUCACCCUCCACCAUGCAAGAUCUCAACACCAUGUUGUCUGCAACACAUGACAGCCAUUGAAGCCUGUGUCCUUCUUGGCCCGGGCUUUUGGGCCGGGGAUGCAGGAGGCAGGCCCCGACCCUGUCUUUCAGCAGGCCCCCACCCUCCUGAGCGGCAAUAAAUAAAAUUCGGUAUGCUGAAUUCAA